CAGCGCCCCUUCCUCCGCCCACUCAGCGGUGACGUGGCAGCCGAGUGAGGGCCUCGGGGUGACGU
rnacentral:pre_miRNA from 2 species